rnacentral:rRNA from 1 species
GACGAACGCUGGCGGCGUGCUUAACACAUGCAAGUCGAACGGAAAGGCCCUGCUUUUGUGGGGUGCUCGAGUGGCGAACGGGUGAGUAACACGUGAGUAACCUGCCCUUGACUUUGGGAUAACUUCAGGAAACUGGGGCUAAUACCGGAUAGGAGCUCCUGCUGCAUGGUGGGGGUUGGAAAGCUUCGGCGGUUGGGGAUGGGCUCGCGGCUUUUCAGCUUGUUGGUGGGGUAGUGGCUUACCAAGGCUUUGACGGGUAGCCGGCCUGGGAGGGUGACCGGCCACAUUGGGACUGAGAUACGGCCCAGAUGACUACGGGAGGCAGCAGUGGGGAAUAUUGCACACUGGGCGGAAGCCUGAUGCAGCAACGCCGCGUGCGGGAUGACGGCCUUCGGGUUGUAAACCGCUUUCGCCUGUGACGAAGCGUGAGUGACGGUAAUGGGUAAAGAAGCACCGGCUAACUCCGUG